rnacentral:sRNA from 1 species
UACAAAUUCAAAUUCAUUUGGAAGAAAAAUGAAUAUCUCUUUUCUGAUUAAAUAAUACCCACAAGAGAACAAAACGUCGUCCAAACGAACUAGAAAAAAAAUCGAAGGCAGCGCUAAUAUCAACAGCAUGUAAGCAGCAAUGCAGGAUAACAGGUUGCUAUCCCAAAGUACGGAGAAGAUGUUUUGAAUUUUAAGGAUUGUUGGACAUUUGCUUUAUUAAGGGUACCACAAUGGGUAAGACUGGCCUCCGAAUAAACUCAUCUUUGGUGGGCAACGCAAUCAACCUAGCCAAAAUCUAACUUACUACCAAAGAAAAGAAACCCCGAAAAUUUGUAUGUGUGGACUUCCGAGCUUCCUUUCAGUAAUAACAUCAUCUUUUCAAGGUUCCC